UCUCAGGCGCUCCUCUCGCAGCAAGGAUUUGUGCUAGUGGCUCCCCCUCCUUUUGGUUUCCUGAUAAAAGGCCGUUGGAAUUUUUGUCUCUGGAAAUCCAUGAGACUCUGCUUUUCUUUUUAGAAGCUUGGACACCUCCACCUGGAUCAGCCGUGGUGCAAGAGUCCCUCUGAGCACGAGGAGAUCCACGUGGUGCAGAAGACUGAUGAGGCAGAGCCCAGGACGAGGCUGGUGUGGCCUCACCUGGUCACUCAGAAGGGACGUAAGGUCGGGGCUCGGGGCGUGCACCUGAGCUGCUGUCCAUGAGUCUCUUCCUCCGGACUCUCAGUGUUGAGGAGAUUAUGAUGCAGAGCACUGUCCUGGUGUCCAGACGCCCAGUGUGACUGGAUUUGGAGACGGGGCUGCUAAGGAGGUGGUCAAGUUUACGUGAGGUCAGGGUAGGGGGGUACAGCUCAGGUGGCAGAGCAAAUGUGGAGCAUGUACAGGGUCCUAGGUUCAAUCCCCAGUACCUCCUCCAAGAGUAAAUAAAUAAAUAAACCUAAUUACCUCCCCCCUCCAAAAAUUUUAAAAAUAAAUAAAGUAUUUUAUUAAAAAACGGGAGAGGAGCAACGUGGAGCUGGAGGAGUAAGAGGGACAAACCUUCAGGUAUAAAAUAAGCUGCAAGGGUGUACGGCAGGGGGAAUAGAGCUGGCGUUUUAUACCAACUAUAAACGGAGUAUAACCUUUAAAAACUGUGAAUCACUGGUUUCUAUGACUGUAACAUAUAAUAUCGUACAUCAACUAUACUUCAGUUAAAAAAGUAUGAUAUUGUAAAAUAAAUUCAUAAAU